rnacentral:rRNA from 1 species
AUUGAACGCUAGCGGCAUGCCUAACACAUGCAAGUCGAACGGCAGCGCGGAGAGCUUGCUCUCUGGCGGCGAGUGGCGGACGGGUGAGUAACGCGUAGGAAUCUACCUUGUAGUGGGGGAUAGCCUGGGGAAACUCGGGGUAAUACCGCAUAAUCUCUAAGGAGCAAAGCGGGGGAUCUUCGGACCUCGCGCUGCAAGAUGAGCCUGCGUUGGAUUAGCUAGUUGGUGGGGUAAAGGCCUACCAAGGCGACGAUCUAUAGCUGGUCUGAGAGGACGACCAGCCACACUGGGACUGAGACACGGCCCAGACUCCUACGGGAGGCAGCAGUGGGGAAUAUUGGACAAUGGGGGAAACCCUGAUCCAGCAAUGCCGCGUGUGUGAAGAAGGCCUUAGGGUUGUAAAGCACUUUCGGUGGGAAAGAAAAAUACAAGACUAAUAAGCUUGAGAAUUGACGUUACCCACAGAAGAAGCACUGGCUAACUCUGUGCCAG